GUUACGUUUAUGGGCGGAACGGUGUCCGCUGAACAUUCUAUGAUACCAGAGUCUGUAAGACCGCGGCUUCGGACGGGCUCGCGCCACGCCCUCCACCGCGAAAGGUGCACAGUGGGUUUGUGGUUUUUUCCAGGGACGGAGACCCGCGUCACGACCGGAGCCGGAGCGAGGCCACCCGCACCCCGAAGGAGAUACGUUAAUGAUCCUUCCGCAGGUUCACCUACGGAAA
rnacentral:misc_RNA from 1 species